rnacentral:pre_miRNA from 1 species
UUGGCCACCUGGCACUGAGAACUGAAUUCCAUAGGCUGUGAGCUCUAGCAAAUGCCCUAUGGACUCAGUUCUGGUGCCCGGCAGUGCUAC